rnacentral:rRNA from 1 species
GCUUAACACAUGCAAGUCGAACGGUAACAUGGGUGCUUGCACCUGAUGACGAGUGGCGAACGGGUGAGUAAUACAUCGGAACAUGCCCAAUUGUGGGGGAUAGCUCGGCGAAAGCCGGAUUAAUACCGCAUAAGAUCUACGGAUGAAAGCAGGGGACCUUCGGGCCUUGCGCGAUUGGAGUGGCCGAUGGCAGAUUAGGUAGUUGGUGGGGUAAAGGCCUACCAAGCCUGCGAUCUGUAGCUGGUCUGAGAGGACGACCAGCCACACUGGGACUGAGACACGGCCCAGACUCCUACGGGAGGCAGCAGUGGGGAAUUUUGGACAAUGGGCGCAAGCCUGAUCCAGCAAUGCCGCGUGCAGGACGAAGGCCUUCGGGUUGUAAACUGCUUUUGUACAGAACGAAAAGUCUCUGGUUAAUACCUGGGGAUCAUGACGGUACUGUAAGAAUAAGCACCGGCUAACUACGUGCCAGCAGCCGCGGUAAUACGUAGGGUGCGAGCGUUAAUCGGAAUUACUGGGCGUAAAGCGUGCGCAGGCGGCGAUGCAAGACCGAUGUGAAAUCCCCGGGCUCA